GAUGAACGCUGGCGGCGUGCCUAAUACAUGCAAGUCGAGCGAACAGUUCAGGAGUUUUCUCCUCCGACGUUGUCGCGGGACGGGAGAUUACCUUGUGGACAACCUACCUACUAGACUGGGAUACUUAUGGCAAACGGGAGCUAAUACCGGAAAAUAUAUUGAACCGCAUGGUUCCAUAGUGAAAGACGGUUUUGGUGUCACUAAUAGAUGGACCCGCGCCGCAUUAUCUAGUGGGUAAGGUAACGGCUUACCAAGGCUACGAUGCGUAGCCGACCUGAGAGGGAGAACGGCCACACUGGAACUGAGACACAGUCCAGACUCCUACGGGAGGCAGCAGUAGGGAAUCCUCCGCGAUGGAGGAGAGCCUGACAGAGCAACGCCGCGUGAGUGAUGAAGGACUACGGAUCGUAGAACGCUGUUAUUAGGGAAGAACAAAUGUGUAAGUAACUAUGCACAUAAUGACGGUACCUAAUCAAAAAGCCACGGCUAACUACGUG
rnacentral:rRNA from 1 species